rnacentral:rRNA from 1 species
UGGGGGAUAUUGCACAAUGGGCGAAAGCCUGAUGCAGCGACGCCGCGUGGGGGAUGAAGGCCUUCGGGUUGUAAACUUCUUUUGCUCUGAACAAGGCGCACCAUGGGGUGUGUUGAGUGUAGGGGUUGAUUAGCGCCGGCUAACUACGUGCCAGCAGCCGCGGUAAUACGUAGGGCGCGAGCGUUGUCCGGAAUUAUUGGGCGUAAAGGGCUUGUAGGUGGCUGGUUGCGUCUGUCGUGAAAGCUCAUGGCUUAACUGUGGGUUUGCGGGGAGUACGGGCUGGCUGGAGUGCAGUAGGGGAGGCUGGAAUUCCUGGUGUAGCGGUGGAAUGCGCAGAUAUCAGGAGGAAUGCCGGUCGCGAGGGCGGGUCUCUUGGCUGUUACUGACACUGAGGAGCGAAAGCAUGGGGAGCGAACAG